rnacentral:rRNA from 1 species
GAUGAACGCUAGCUACAGGCUUAACACAUGCCAGUCGAGGGGAAACGACAUCGAAAGCUUGCUUUUGAUGGGCGUCGACCGGCGCACGGGUGAGUAACGCGUAUCCAACCUGCCCAUCACUUGGGAAUAACCUUGCGAAAGUAAGACUAAUACCCAAUGACAUCCCACGAAGACAUCUGAAUGGGAUUAAAGAUUUAUCGGUGAUGGAUGGGGAUGCGUCUGAUUAGCUUGUUGGCGGGGUAACGGCCCACCAAGGCAACGAUCAGUAGGGGUUCUGAGAGGAAGGGCCCCCACAUUGGAAACGGGACACGGUCCCAACUCCUACGGGAGGCAGCAGUGAGGGAUAUUGGUCAAAGGGCGAGAGGCUGAAACAGCCAAGUAGCGUGGAGGAUGACGGCCCUAUGGGUUGUAAAAUGCUUUUAUAAGGGAAUAAAGUGGGUCUCGUGAGACUUUUUGCAUGUACCUUAUGAAUAAGGACCGGCUAAUUCCGU